UUCCAGACUCCUACGGGAGGCAGCAGUGAGGAAUAUUGGUCAAUGGGCUUACGCCUGAACCAGCCAAGUCGCGUGAGGGAAGACUGCCCUAUGGGUUGUAAACCUCUUUUGUCAGGGAGCAAUUGGCGCUACGUGUAGCGUUAUCGAGAGUACCUGAAGAAAAAGCAUCGGCUAACUCCGUGCCAGCAGCCGCGGUAAUACGGAGGAUGCGAGCGUUAUCCGGAUUUAUUGGGUUUAAAGGGUGCGUAGGCGGUCUGUUAAGUCAGCGGUAAAAAUUCGGGGCUCAACCCCGUCCGGCCGUUGAAACUGGGGGCCUUGAGUGGGCGAGAAGAAGGCGGAAUGCGUGGUGUAGCGGUGAAAUGCAUAGAUAUCACGCAGAACUCCGAUUGCGAAGGCAGCAUACCGGCGCCCAACUGACGCUGAGGCACGAAAGCGUGGGUAUCGAACAGGAUUAGAUACCCUGGUAC
rnacentral:rRNA from 1 species